rnacentral:lncRNA from 1 species
GUUCCUUUUGUUUAUGUUGUUUGAAUUUAACUUUUGAAAGAUUGUAGCCUGAAGAGGAUGGUAAAGCCACUGAAAACGUUUGCUUUAAUAAAGUUGAUGUAUUCUAUAACUGCAAAGUAGUGCUCUGACUGAAUUAUCCUUAUAUAAAAUUAAAGCCACACUUCAGAAAUAUCUUUACUCUUUCUAUUCAGUAAUUAUAUUAAUUAAUUGAUGAACAGAAGGAGUGCCUUUCUUUCAAUAGAUUUUUGUUGAGAAAGAUUUCUAAUGCAUAAAUCUUUGCCUAUAUUCUUAAGGAAAAGUUGUCAUCAUAUGUUAAAUGUUUCUUAUCUUAAAUUUAACAAUAUAUUUUACAAGCAGACCCAUGGUGUGUCUGUAGAAAGCCGAAUUGCAGGCUUUCCAGCAGAGAUCGUAGUAGUAGUAAGAGAAAGGGAGGGGCCUAUGCAGCCCAAGCACUGCGACCAAUACAGGU